UACGGGGGGGGCAAGCGUUGUUCGGAAUUACUGGGCGUAAAGGGCUCGUAGGCGGCCAACUAAGUCAGACGUGAAAUCCCUCGGCUUAACCGGGGAACUGCGUCUGAUACUGGAUGGCUUGAGAUUGGGAGAGGGAUGCGGAAUUCCAGGUGUAGCGGUGAAAUGCGUAGAUAUCUGGAGGAACACCGGUGGCGAAGGCGGCAUCCUGGACCAACACUGACGCUGAGUGAGCGAAAGCCAGGGGAGCAAACGGG
rnacentral:rRNA from 1 species